GUCCUGUCUGGCUGCAGGAGGCACGUCAACAACCAACUUUGGCAUCUGUGGGGUCCAUAAAGGAUUGUGUUGGAAUUUUGAUGGGAAUUGCAUUGAAUUUGUAGAUUGCUUUUGUCCUAGGCCAUCAACUGCCACUGAGUCUGCACCUUCACCAACGGGCUCUACUGGCCUCUCACAUGCCAAACCUCAAGUGCUUCCAUGACCCCUUCAUGACUUCAAAACCAGUACUACCUGGGUGACUAAUGCUACCAAGUUCAGCUGCCAGCAUGAGGUACCUCUGGAAUACAGCUUUUGGGGACUGACUUUCAGGAAACAUUUCCCAGAAGAUUUCACCUCAACAAUGCUGGCCUUUUUGUAAUCACUGCUAAAUUCCAAGCUCCAGCUGACCAGCAUCUAGUAUUCCAGCAAAGCAAAGGUUUUUUGCCUUAGUAGUUCUGGUAUCUUGUUACCAUCAUUGAUUCUUCUCAUACAACACAACACAAACACAUCGAGUGCUUCUUUGAAGUAAAAAGUAAAAACAUGAAAGUUUUAAGAAAUUAUACGCGGAAGUGCUAAGAAUGAAAUAUAUCCAUUUGUGGGGGUUGAUCACAUUAUCUUUUAUAGUUGAGUCAGCUUCAGUGCAUUAUGGUAAAAAAUGUAUACCAAAAAUUAUUGAGACUUGCUUUAGGACAGAGUAUACAGUCAAUCUAAAAAUAUUAAUUUAGGGGCUGGAGAGAUGGCUUUGA
rnacentral:lncRNA from 1 species